AGAAGGGAAGACUGAAAGAAAUUUAGGCAAAUUAAGCCCCAAAGCACACUAUAAUUUUCUGUUUCUGAACUGAUUUGUAAGAGAAUGGGUGGCUGAAAUUAGCAAAGAAUCACCCCACACAAAGAUGGCGCGUGCAGAAUUUGUGAAAGCGAAAAAGAAGACGAAGGAGAAGCAAAAGGGGACGGAAUACUGCAGUGCUGGGGUGCAGCUGGAGUCCAGAAAUGAUUUUUUUCGAUGAAUUUAGGAUUUUGCCGCAGUAUCCAUCUGCAGUCCCAGAAUCCUCCGUUUCACAAAUAGAUCAAUUUAUGUCAAACACAAGUUAACUGGGUAGAAAUGGUGUAAACGAACCAAAGG